CUUCUAGUUGUGCACGGGUCAGCUGUUCACCUGCACCCGCCCACAAUUGCUAAUAACCCAUCUGCAACCACGUGACUAUAUGUAAUAAAGUGAAAAUCUGAGGCCCGCACCCGACCCUAACCCGCUACCAUUUUUUUGACAGGGGGGUGCAGAACCAUUAUUUUGACAGGGGGGUGCAGAACCAUUAUUUUGACAGGGGGGUGUAGAACCAUUGUUUGACAGGGGGGUGCAGAACCAUUGUUUGACAGGGGGGUGCAGAACCAUUGUUUGACAGGGGGGUGCAGAACCAUUGUUUUGACAGGGGGGUGCAGAACAAUUUUUUGACAGGGGGGUGCAGAACCAUUGUUUUGACAUGGGGGUGCAGAACCAUUGAUUUGACAGGGGGGUGCAGAACCAUUGCUUUGACAGGGGGGUGCAGAACCAUUUUUUGACAUGGGGGUGCAGAACCAUUGUUUUGACAGGGGGGUGCAGAACCAUUUUUUGACAUGGGGGUGCAGAACCAUUGUUUUGACAGGGGGUGCAGAACCAUUGUUUUGACAGGGGGGUGUGGAACCAUUGUUUGACAGGGGGGUGCAGAACCAUUGUUUGACAGGGGGGUGCAGAACCAUUGUUU
rnacentral:lncRNA from 1 species